rnacentral:rRNA from 1 species
GCGAAGAAGUAUUUCGGUAUGUAAAGCUCUAUCAGCAGGGAAGAAAGACUCGUAAGAGAGAUGACGGUACCUGACUAAGAAGCCCCGGCUAACUACGUGCCAGCAGCCGCGGUAAUACGUAGGGGGCAAGCGUUAUCCGGAUUUACUGGGUGUAAAGGGAGCGCAGACGGUCAAGCAAGUCUGAAGUGAAACCCCACGGCUCAACCGUGGGCUUGCUUUGGAAACUGUUUGACUAGAGUACUGGAGAGGUAAGCGGAAUUCCUAGUGUAGCGGUGAAAUGCGUAGAUAUUAGGAGGAACAUCGGUGGCGAAGGCGGCUUACUGGACAGCAACUGACGUUGAGGCUCGAAGGCGUGGGGAGCAAACAGGAUUAGAUACCCUGGUAGUCCACGCGGUAAACGAUGAAUACUAGGUGUUGG